rnacentral:rRNA from 1 species
AGUGAACGCUGGCGGUAGGCCUAACACAUGCAAGUCGAACGGCAGCACAGUAAGAGCUUGCUCUUACGGGUGGCGAGUGGCGGACGGGUGAGGAAUACAUCGGAAUCUACUUUUUCGUGGGGGAUAACGUAGGGAAACUUACGCUAAUACCGCAUACGACCUACGGGUGAAAGCAGUGGAUCUUCGGACCUUGCGCGAUUGAAUGAGCCGAUGUCGGAUUAGCUAGUUGGCGGGGUAAAGGCCCACCAAGGCGACGAUCCGUAGCUGGUCUGAGAGGAUGAUCAGCCACACUGGAACUGAGACACGGUCCAGACUCCUACGGGAGGCAGCAGUGGGGAAUAUUGGACAAUGGGCGCAAGCCUGAUCCAGCCAUACCGCGUGGGUGGAGAAGGCCUUCGGGUUGUAAAGCCCUUUUGUUGGGAAAGAAAAGCAGCAGGUUAAUACCCCGCUGUUCUGACGGUACCCAAAGAAUAAGCACCGGCUAACUUCGUG